UACAGAGGUGCCAAGCGUUAGGCGGAAUCACUGGGCUUAAAGCGCGCGUAGGCGGCUUUGCAAGUCGGGUGUGAAAUCCCCAGGCUUAACCUGGGAACUGCAUUCGAGACUGCAUUGCUAGAGUAUGGGAGAGGGAAGUGGAAUUUCCGGUGUAGCGGUGAAAUGCGUAGAUAUCGGAAGGAACAUCAGUGGCGAAAGCGACUUCCUGGACCAAUACUGACGCUCAUGUGCGAAAGCGUGGGGAGCAAACAGG
rnacentral:rRNA from 1 species